CUUUAAGAAGUACAACCUACCAGUUAUAAAAUAAAUAUGUCAUGGAGAUCUCACGUACAGCCUAGGGAAUCUAGCCAAUCAUAUUGUAAUAAAUUUGUAUAGUGACAGAUGAUAACUAGACUUAUAGUGAGGACCAUUUUAUAAUGUAUA